rnacentral:lncRNA from 1 species
ACUGUCCAUCUGGCACAAAGAAGGAACACCAGCUGGUACAUAAACUAGCACUGGAGGUAUUUCCAGUAGCCUAUGACCUUUGAAUGGAUCAACCUUUCACAGUCAACUCCUGAUUAUCUGCAAAAGGCUUGCACAUCUCCUUGGCAAAGUUCUGGCACGUUCCCCUGAGAUAAUGAAUUGGCUUCAGAGCCCUGGAGAAAUGGGCUACAGCUGAGGUGACCUGGAGGACCCUGUCAAGAAUGGC